rnacentral:rRNA from 1 species
UACAGAGGUCUCAAGCGUUGUUCGGAUUCAUUGGGCGUAAAAGGUGUGUAGGUGGCGCCGUAAGUCGGGUGUGAAAUUUCGGAGCUUAACUCCGAAACUGCAUUCGAUACUGCGGUGCUUGAGGACUGGAGAGGAGACUGGAAUUUACGGUGUAGCAGUGAAAUGCGUAGAUAUCGUAAGGAAGACCAGUGGCGAAGGCGGGUCUCUGGACAGUUCCUGACACUGAGACACGAAGGCCAGGGGAGCAAACGGG